UACGAGUGCCCCAAGCGUUAUCCGGAAUCAUUGGGCGUAAAGGGUGUGUAGGUGGCGAUGUUAGUCUUCUGUCAAAUUCUUCGGCUUAACCGGGGGGUCUGCAGAGGAAACGGCAUUGCUCGAGGAUGCGAGGGGUCUAUGGAACUCAUGGAGUAGGGGUGAAAUCCGUUGAUAUCAUGGGGGAACACCAAAAGCGAAGGCAAUAGACUGGCGCAUUCCUGACACUGAAAACACGAAAGCGUGGGUAGCGAACGGGGA
rnacentral:rRNA from 1 species